rnacentral:rRNA from 1 species
UACAGAGGUCUCAAGCGUUGCUCGGAUUCAUUGGGCGUAAAGGGUGCGUAGGCGGCGCGGUAAGUCGGGUGUGAAAUCUUGGAGCUUAACUCCGAAACUGCAUUCGAUACUGCCGUGCUUGAGGACUGGAGAGGAGACUGGAAUUUACGGUGUAGCGGUGAAAUGCGUAGAUAUCGUAAGGAAGACCAGUGGCGAAGGCGGGUCUCUGGACAGUUCCUGACGCUGAGGCACGAAGGCCAGGGGAGCAAACGGG